AUUGAACGCUGGCGGCAUGCCUUACACAUGCAAGUCGAACGGCAGCACGGGGGCAACCCUGGUGGCGAGUGGCGAACGGGUGAGUAAUGCAUCGGAACGUGCCCAGUAGUGGGGGAUAACCAGUCGAAAGACUGGCUAAUACCGCAUACGACCUAUGGGUGAAAGCGGGGGACCGUAAGGCCUCGCGCUAUUGGAGCGGCCGAUGUCUGAUUAGCUAGUUGGCGGGGUAAGAGCCCACCAAGGCGACGAUCAGUAGCUGGUCUGAGAGGACGACCAGCCACACUGGGACUGGGACACGGCCCAGACUCCUACGGGAGGCAGCAGUGGGGAAUUUUGGACAAUGGGCGCAAGCCUGAUCCAGCCAUGCCGCGUGCGGGAAGAAGGCCUUCGGGUUGUAAACCGCUUUUGGCAGGAACGAAACGGCGCAAGCGAAUACCUUGCGCUAAUGACGGUACCUGCAGAAUAAGCACCGGCUAACUACGUGCCAGCCGCCGCAGUAAAAC
rnacentral:rRNA from 1 species